rnacentral:rRNA from 1 species
UCCAAUUGAAGCAGAGGACAGUGGCGGACGGGUGAGUAACGCGUGGGAACCUGCCUUAUAAAGGGGGAGUAACAGGGAGAAAUGCCUGCUAAUACCGCAUAAGCUUAGGAGAGCGCAUGCUCUCAUAAGGAAAGGCGAAAGCCGAUAUAAGAUGGCCCCGCGUCUGAUUAGCUAGUUGGAGAGGUAAUGGCUCACCAAGGCGACGAUCAGUAGCCGGCUUGAGAGAGUGGACGGCCACAUUGGGACUGAGACACGGCCCAAACUCC